rnacentral:rRNA from 1 species
UACGGUGAAAACUGCGAAUGGCUCAUUAAAUCAGUUAUCGUAUAUUUGAUAGUACCUACUACAUGGAUAACCGUGGUAAUUCUAGAGCUAAUACAUGCUUAAAAUCCCGACUUCGGAAGGGAUGUAUUUAUUAGAUUAAAAACCAAUGCCCUCCGGGGCUCACUGGUGAUUCAUAAUAACUUCACGAAUCGCAUGGCCUUGCGCCGGCGAUGGUUCAUUCAAAUUUCUGCCCUAUCAACUUUCGACGGCUGGGUCUUGGCCAGCCGUGGUUACAACGGGUAACGGAGGGUUAGGGCUUGACCCCGGAGAAGGAGCCUGAGAAACGGCUACUACAUCCAAGGAAGGCAGCAGGCGCGCAAAUUACCCAAUCCCGAUACGGGGAGGUAGUGACAAUAAAUACUGAUACAGGGCUCUUUUGGGUCUUGUAAUUGGAAUGAGUACAAUUUAAAUCCCUUAACGAGGAACAAUUGGAGGGCAAGUCUGGUGCCAGCAGCCGCGGUAAUUCCAGCUCCAAUAGCGUAUAUUAAAGUUGUUGCAGUUAAAAAGCUCGUAGUUGAACCUUGGGCCUGGCUGGCCGGUCUGCCUCACCGCAUGCACUGGUCCGGCCGGGCCUUUCCCUCUGGGGAGCCGCAUGGCCUUCACUGGCUGUGUCGGGGAACCAGGACUUUUACUGUGAAAAAAUUAGAGUGUUCAAAGCAGGCCUAUGCUCGAAUACAUUAGCAUGGAAUAAUAGAAUAGGACGUUGCGGUUCUAUUUUGUUGGUUUCUAGGACCGCCGUAAUGAUUAAUAGGGACAGUCGGGGGCAUCAGUAUUCAAUCGUCAGAGGUGAAAUUCUUGGAUCGAUUGAAGACUAACUACUGCGAAAGCAUUUGCCAAGGAUGUUUUCAUUAAUCAGGAACGAAAGUUAGGGGAUCGAAAACGAUCA